AUAUCAAUAAGCGGAGGAAAAGAAACUAACAAGGAUUCCCCUAGUAACGGCGAGUGAAGCGGGAUGAGCUCAAAUUUAAAAUCCGUCUGGCUUGCCAGACCGAGUUGUAGUUUAUAGAAACGUUUUCGGUGGGUUCCUGGGUAUAAGUCCUUUGGAACAGGGCAUCAUAGAGGGUGAGAAUCCCGUCUUUGACUCAGAGUUACCUACUAUGUGAUACGUUUUCCAAGAGUCGGAUUGUUUGGGAUUGCAGUCCAAAAUGGGUGGUAAAUUUCAUCUAAAGCUAAAUAUUGGCGAGAGACCGAUAGCGCACAAGUA
rnacentral:rRNA from 1 species